rnacentral:rRNA from 1 species
GUGUCAGCCGCCGCGGUAAUACGGAGGGAGCUAGCGUUGUUCGGAAUUACUGGGCGUAAAGCGCGCGUAGGCGGUCUAUUAAGUCAGGGGUGAAAUCCCGGGGCUCAACCCCGGAACUGCCCUUGAAACUGGCAGACUAGAAUCUUGGAGAGGCGAGUGGAAUUCCGAGUGUAGAGGUGAAAUUCGUAGAUAUUCGGAAGAACACCAGUGGCGAAGGCGACUCGCUGGACAAGUAUUGACGCUGAGGUGCGAAAGCGUGGGGAGCAAACAGGAUUAGAUACCCUAGUAGUCC